rnacentral:rRNA from 1 species
AGUUUGAUCCUGGCUCAGUUUAUCUUUGCCACUUGCCCUAAUACUAUGCAAGUCCAGUGCUUGGGAUUUGCAGGGUGAGUCGGGCCACAAUUGAGGGGUGAGUAACAUGCGGGUUACCUUGCCUGUAAGACUAGGAUAACUCCGGGAAACCGGGGCUAAUACUAAGAUACACUUCUCUCCGCAUGGAGGGUAGUUGAUGAAAGAUGGCCUGCCCUAUCACUUACAGAUGGAACCCGCGGCGCAUAAAGACUUGGCUUCAGGCUAAUCAUUGGUGUUCAGGUAACUGGCCAGCCAAGGAACUGAUGCGUAGCCAAGACCUUGAGAGGGUGAUCGGCCGCAUUGGGACUGAGACUGGCGACCAAUGUCCUACGGGGAAAGGCAGCCAGUAGGGAUCUUCCCGCAAGGCGAAAGUCUUGACGGAGCAACGCAGCGCGUGAGUGAAGAAUGGCUUCGGAAUCGUAACACUCUGUUGUUAGGUGAAGACACAAGGUAUAGUUUCUGAAUAUAGGUAAUACGUAGCUGGCAAUUCCUUGACCGGGUACCUAAGCCAAGAAGCCACGGCUAAACUACUGUGUCCAGCAGCCGCGGUAAAUACGUAGGUGAGCAAGCGUGCCUGAGAGGGUGACCGGCCCACAGGGGUCACUCCCUUUAGUUGCUGCAGACGGUAUGACCUGGUGCUACACAGUGUCCCAACGGGCGGUACAAAGGGCGCGACCACCGCGGGGCGGAGCGAAUCCCAAAAAAAGCCAAGUCAGUUGUAAUCACCAAGGCAAUGGUGUAAAUCGCGCAGGCUGGGAGGAACCCCUUGGGGAAGGCGACUCUCUGGUCUGUAACUGACGCUGAGGCGCGAAAGCGUGGGGAGAUAAAAGGAUUAGAAUACCCUUGAGUUUACGUAAACGAUGAGUGUCCGUGUUAGAGUCUUUGCCGCCCUUUGUGUGACAGGUUACGCCCUUUAAGACUCCGCCCUGGGGAGUAGCACCGCAAGGUUGAACUCAAAGGAAUUGAGGGGGCCCGCACUUGGCGGUGGUGCAUGUGUGUUUAAUUCGAAGCAACGCCAGAAGCCUUACCAAGGUGUUGACAUCAGCAGCUGAAUACGUUCCUCCGGGGCCUUGUACUACACCGGUCACACCAAGAGAGCUUCAACACCACGAGUGUUGAGUGUUGGGUAUUAAGUCUGCCACUGGAUCACUCCUUGGAUCAUAGCCGGAAACAGCUAGUUUACCGCGGAUCAAGCAUUUUGUACACACGGCCCGUGCCGCGGUGAAUACCUUCCCGGGCCCUUGUUACACCGCGGCCCAUUGCAAGACCGCGACCGGAAACUACGUUCCCCGGGGCCUUGACACACCGCCGUCAAAGUCGUAACAAGGUACACCGCGGGAGAUUUGCACAACCCGGAAGAAGUCGUAACAAGGUAAGCC